GUUGGUUUACGCUUUUAGACAUAUCUAGUUAUGUUGCAAAGAGGAAAUGGCUCUUUACCCUUAACAAUCCAUGCAGAUAAGGAUCGCUAGCUGCCAGAGAACCUGUUUUUCUGAGUAGUGAUGUAAAGCCAGCAGGACUGGUGACAAGGGCUUGCCUUUCCUAGGCAGGAUUCAUCCCAGCAGAGUGUGGUGCACAGCAGUCAACAGCUCAGACAUUGCUGCAGCAGAAUAACCACGAAUCUGGGGUACUUCCCAGCCUGUUGGACAUAGGAAGAACAUAGAGCUAUGGUUACUUAACGGUACGGGAAGAGCACCAUCCUCUUUCACCUUUUGCUGCAUUGUUAAUGUUAGAUCCUGAUCUUACCUGUCUGAAUUCAUGCACAUGAAUGUUCCCAUUCAUUGAGGGACGGAGAGGAAAUAUGCUGAAUUACCUGUAGGAGGUGUGCCUGCUUCUGUUAAUAGAUGUACCUGCUCUAUGGAUUAAUUCCUAACUGAUCAGAUUCUGUACUGAGGUAUGCUGGAAUCCUUCUCAGAUAUGUCACCUCCUGGGAAGCUCAAAUGACACAGCUGAUGAGGAUUUCAAACUCACUGUGUAGUGCUGUCCCAAGGAACAGAACACAAGAUACCAGCACUGUGAGAUCUGAGACCAAGGUGGGUCUGGACAUCACCAGAGUGAUCAUGAUAAAGGUUUGGGAGUUAAAGUGAACCUCCUGAAUAACCCCAAACUCCCUCGUUUCCACAGUGGCAGAAACAAGUCUUUGUGUGUUAUUGACAGAAAUGGAAGAGGGAAAAAAAAAAUCCUCUGGGUCUGCGUGUCAAGAAUGGAGAAAAAGAGGGAGGAAAGGUUAAAGCUGGAAGAGUGGAAAAGUUGACUGGGAGGAACAAGCCCGUUCGCUGCUCAGCGCCCUGCCCGUGCAGGUUGCAUGGUUGUGACCUGCUCCCCUGUGCUCCCUGCUGCCUGAAGGAGGUCGGGAACCUGCUUUGGUCUCUGUUCUUCUGUGGCCACGUUCCCGACCCUAUGCCAAAGUGGGAACGCCUCUGAGUCGAGGCUGUGGGACUGCGCUCAUCCUGCCAAGCGCCCAGCUGGCUUGUCCUGUGGCAAGAGGGAAGUCUCCAUCGAGCCAAAGUGGCAUCUGUCAGGAUUCACGCUCUGGAAAAGAAGAUCAGGGUGAAUGGGGACCAAGGAGAAUAAAAGCUGACCCAAACCUUUGACCCAAAGUUAACAUAAAGCCAAAUGAAACCUUAGAGGUUUGUAAAUGUUCAUGAAACACUUCCACCUCCUGCCCACCCGCCCCUUAACUUUUGUUUCUUUAUACUCGUGUACUUACUGUUUCUAAUUGAAAGUCUAAUGUAAAGCCCCAGUACAUUAAUUAAAGGACUUUCGGAGAUUUUAGUGACUUUUGAUUCAACCUCCCAAAGAACGGAAAUAAUUUCUUUAAUCAAAAACUUCUUAAACUUAAGAGAAAACAAAACCUGAGAAGAGAUGGAAAAGCAGAGGCCAAAUGUAAUUUUCUAGCAUGUCUUCUUGGUACGAACCAUGCCCAGGAGACUGAUAUGGACAUUGUUAAUCAGAAAAAAUCACUGUAUAGAAACAGAGAAUUGCUGAGCUAACAGUGGACUGAUUUAAUAAGCUGUAAUGUCUGUUCACAACAACUAGAAAGCUUGCUAUUAUUUACUGUCAGCUUGUGCUGUAGAAGAAUACCACGAGUAAUCAGCUGGCAUUUAUGACCCAAAGUUUGCAUAUAUAUGUGAGAAACUGAGUCUUUUUCUUUACACCAAAAUCACAAGAAAGUGCCAAUUACAUGAAAACCUCAUUAGGGAAAUAACUCUCUGCUACUGAUACAGUUUUUAACUUUCUAAGUGACUUCUGUCAGAAGGGGGUAGAAAUGUGAUAGUUUAUAGGGCUUAAUAAAACCUGAGCUUCCCAUGCUAUGCAUUUGAUGGUCAGGAUAAGAGAGUUCUUAUCUGAGAUCUACUCACGGAUGAGAGAAUCGAGGAAGGUUUGUGAAACCAGCUCAAAUAGAAAUUAAAUGUGGCUUUUUCGCGGUGGUUGUUAUGCUGUUAUUUGGUGAUGUGGCCGUAGUGACUGUUCCUAUGGAUUUGUGUUGCUGGUUCAGAGUUUGGUCUCCUGUAAAGUAUUAACCUGCCUGGAGCUCCUAUUUGCACGUACAAAUUGUGUGUUUUGUGUGCACAAACUGGUAUGGCCGCAUAUUUUACUUGCGAAUACAUGCACAGCUUAUCUAGAGAGUCAUUUCCUAAUAUUUGUGUAACAGACACAGUUUUGAUUUUCACAGUCGCUGGGCAUAUGCACAUGAACAGCGUGUGCUCCACAGACAAUUACUCUGCCUUAAUGGAAAAGGUAGAUGUGGGAAAUGGUCCUGGGAAGACUUUGCUCAUAAGCAGCUACUGCUUGUUCAUAACGAUGCUGUGAAUGAGCAUUAUUUUGUUAUUAUCAUUUAUAUAUUCAUUUUAUGCAGCUUUUUUUUUUUUUUAAUUCUCACCCACUCUUCGUUUUCUUUUUGUCUCCCUAUUGUCUUUCCCACUCUCACUCUGACUAGAUUUUCUGUUUCAGAGCUCCUCCCAAGUUCUCUCCAACAUCAUACCUGGGCUGCCUGGUCUCUGCCAGCAGUAUAUGUUCUGUCUCUCCUGGAGCACCUAAAAAUCUCCUUGCUGGGGGACGUCAUAGUGAGAUGCUGAGAGAAAUGCCUCAGAGCAGCUGUGGCUGAAAUCUGAAAUGCACCCAGGCUGUUGCUUGUUCCUUGUUCCCAAAAUGUGCCAGGCAUUUUCCAGGUGGAAGUUACAGCUGAAGAGACACAGGAGAGAGCAGGAGGGGAAGUUGAGGUGACAGGCACUUAGUAUAAGUGCAAUCUCAUUCGCUUUAAAACUUCAGCCCUUUCUGAUGACUUUAUAGCAUAAAAUAAAAAGCAUUUUUCUGUUUUCUUACAAGUACUGAAAAGCCACUCGCUCCUCCCACUGCGUUGCAGAAUAUACUGCACAAAGGUUUGUGGAAGGUUUUCAUAUGAGGCAUGUAGUGUUAACCUCAAAAAAAUAUUUUCUCUGAAGAUGAAAAAAAAGAUGGGGCAGUCACGCUUUUGCUUGGACUUUCCAGCCAAAUGGAGUAGUGACAUAUUUUAGUUCAUGGACGAGCAGGAUGCAAUGCAGGACACCGCACCCCCUUGCCCUGCAUGGGACGUUGGGUGCGUGGAGAUGGCAGGACUGCUGUCAUCUACUGCUCUGCCGUCCCCAGACAUGCAGCUUUGGCUGAUGCUGUGAGUCAAACCCUGAUGGGUCUCUUCAGACCCCGCUGCACCCUGACCAAUUACAGCCCUUUUCUCAAAAUUGUUCCUUCAUCCUUUACCAGUAAAAAAUGAGGAUUUUGGCACAUGAAGCAGCAGAAUCAGACACAGCUAGUUGGAAGAAACUGGUAAUAGCCCAGACUGAUGUUGAUAGACAUUCCCCAGCCAUUGGUUGAAAGCUUCUAGUCUAGUUUCAAGGGCAAUUUAAUUUUCAAAUCUUUUUUCCAUUGAACAUGUACGUGCAAAGUUGAGUAGCAGAGAUAAAAGCUGGCACAAGGAGAUCUGCCUAGCUGUCUGAUUUUUAUUGUAUACCAUAAUUAUAGUAGCAUACACUUUGGACUGACAGCAUUUUUCAGCAAUUGGGUACUUGAGAAACAUUAAUCCUACUUCAGCUAUUUGUGUAGACUAUCACCUUGUUCAGCAGGUUAGCUGAGCCAAUAUUAUCCUGCUUUUAUAGGCAGCAAAACAGGGACAGAAACAAAGAUUAAGUGACUCACCUAAGGUCAAACAAUAUUGCCAAGAAAAAAGUUGUUUAAGCUUGGGCAUUAUUGCAUCCCAGUGAUCAAGAAGUGUGUGCAAUAUUUCAGAGAAACUAAGGUACGUGUCCCUACAAUAGGUUAGAAAUGAUACUAGCUUGGGAAGUUACAUAUUCACCAGGGCAAGGGAUGUUGUGAUGGCAUGGGAUUGCAAAAGCCAGCAGGCCUGGGUGCUUAUGGAUGGAAAUGGCCAGAUCCUGCAAAAUGCCCCCGUGUUACUACUUGUGGAAACUGUCAUUUUCUUAAAGCAUAUCUGGGACUUCAGCAGGUGAUUAAUACAAGUCUAGAGGUGUGAUGAGCUUUGUGAUUUUAGUUUAUUUUGGAAGAAACUCUAUCAUUAUCUCUUGAAGUCUGGCAAAAAUGGCAAAAAUUUCACAUCUUUUAACAAAAAGUUAUUAAUUUCUCUCCUUCAAUGGCUAUCUACUGCCCCAUUACCCAAAGGAGAUGAAUAUCAGUGGGACUAUUUCCCAAAUAAGGGAGAGGCUGCAUGAUGAGACGAGCAGAAGUUGAAAUGUCCAUUUCGCUUGCACAACAAGACUCAAGCUUUUGAACUUCCUGCAAGGCUGGUUACACCAAAUUGAGAUUGAUGACAAAGCACAUUUUGAAGUUAUUAAAGGUAAAUGGAUUCCUGUGGUGUUGAACCUUCUAGGAUAUCAAGAUUCAGUAGGUGACCUUAUCCAGGACUUCUUGCACUUAAUGAUCAUUUUCCAUCUAUGCCCAAGGGGCUGACCCAUGACCAGUGCUCCAAACCACCAAGCCUCCCAUGGUGUUCUUCCUCUGUCAACUCUCCGUGGUGACAUCCUGGCAUGACACAGGAGAAGCAGUCUAUGGGAGUAGACCCCCACCCAUGGAGGAAUGUCCAACCAGAGCACUGCCACCAGGACGAAUCUGCUGAGGACUACCAAGAGACACAUGGAAAAUCAAGUGUAAAUGACCAGUGAUGCAAGGGAGCCAGGCCCCCUGUUAAUAAACCAGCCUGCAAGUGCUUGUCCCAAACAGCCAAAAACAUCAUCAUCCUUCUGCAAAAUACCACAAAAGUGACUUUUGUCCUUUAAAUCUGAUUUAUAACCCUUUGAGAUGUCAUUGAGACUAUAGUCAAGAUCUCUAACAGGACAAAAUUAUUAGCAAAUAUAAAUUUAAUUCAAGGAAUUAAAAAUGAUAUGGGAAAAUCACCAUUGACAGGCAAGCAAGAAGAAAUAUACUGGAAUUAGCAGAGUCCUCUGCAUACAUACACAUUUUCUCUAGCAGAUGUUCUGUCUAUCUUUUUUCUUGCAAGCAACCACCCUUGGUCAAAAUGCUGCAGACACUUAAAAAAAAAAGAAAAAAAAAGAAAAAAAAAAAAAGGUAUUCCUCAUUUUGUAACUUUUAGCAAUGUUUAUUUUGGGUUAGCAAAAUUGUCUUCUGUCUUAAGAUGUUUAAUGAUUAUUUGAAAGCAACUUGAUGAAUAGAAAAGAGUGUACUCCCACUUGGGGCAAAUGUAUUUUUGGCCUGAUUCAUAAUAAUUAAUCUCUGUCGAAGUGGAAUGCAUUAAUUUCUCCUACUGGUAGGGGCUUUACUUCUGUUUCUUUUCCUAGGCUGGAUGGUUCUGCUCCAGAGGCAUAUUUCCUGAUUAAAGUGGACCGCGACCGGGUACUCAGGUUAUGUCACUAUUAUCUAAACGAUCUUUUAAAGAACACAGAGUACUUGUUCUUGCAGAUAUCUUACGCUCCACAUUUAAUCAUGGACCUUUGUAGCUUGUUAUUUCGAGAAUUCAGAUUACUGCAAAUUAAAAGUCUCUCCGUCCUUGCCAGCGCUCAGUGACAUAAAAUAAAUCCACAUAUUAAGGGGAAAAAAACCUUGUCAAAUUGCACUGAGGGACAAAAAGCAAAGGAAAGCAGGCUUUGCAGCAAUGUGGAAACACGGUCUGCAGCACAGCUAUAAAGGGAAAUGUUAUAAUUUGCUAAUAUUUCCCAUGUAGCCACAACUUCAGCAGGGAUGCAGGCAGAGCCAGCCCUGGCCAGAGUGCAGCUCCUUUUUUAGUAAAAUUGUUUUGUCCCCACAGUGCUGCAGAAGUCCUCCAGCCCCCGCUGCCCCCCCAGCACAUCAGGGGCACUGAGCAGGGAACAUCUCCGGCCCCUGGGACACAGCAGACCCUGUCCCUGCCCCACCAGGUUCCUCCCCACGAGGGCUGGUGGCAGCAUUGCUCCUCUCUUCAUUUUGAGUGUGGCAUCCGAGGAGCAGACAGAAACCGUCAACUCCUUUUUUUGUUUUUUUUUUUUUUUUUUGGCUUUGAGAACGAAUAACUUGCAGGCGGCUGUAAAAGAUGAGAUGCAGGGCAGGAUUUCACAGGCUGCAGGAUGAAAAGCUCUGCAUGGUGUCGUUACCAUUUUCUGUCCUCAGUUUUGCCCCUGUUGCUCUGGUCCAGGGAGAGACGUAAAGUAGUGAUGGGGACAAAUGCUGCCAGGCCUGGUCAUGCUCCAUUCCCCAUUGAUAUCUUCCAAUCCCAGAGAAGUCUUUGGCCUUAAAGUUUUUAGGAAUCUAUCCUACCAACAAAAUUGUUACCUCUUUGGGUGGGACAGGCUGCCCUCAGUGGAGAUGUGUGAGCAGAACAGACAGAGAAGUAGGGGUGAGUGGGCAGGGGGUGGACCACAGCAAAACAGGCUCGGAGUCAGUAUGGGCCUCCGAGGUGAUGCUGUGAGAUGAAGGGCUGCUAACGAGGCUAAUAAGGAACAGUGAGAGUGAAUGAAGUGAGCAGCAAGUAGAAGAGAGGGCUGGACGCAGCGUGGGGAGGGCCACCUGGACAUGAAGAGUGGGUAUGAGGCAGGGGUGGAAUUAGGGUAAAUUAGGAAAUAGGGAUAAGGGUAGGGGUGAGGACAGAAUGGGGUGCAGGUAAGAGGAGCAGACUUGCACUGAUGAGUUUAAUGAAGAAAGUUGUUGUCUAUCAGCAUCUUGCUUUCACCAGUGCUUGUUUGGAGCUUAUGGCUUCAGCUCUGAGCCCUUGCCAUGGUAAAGGGUUCCUGUCCAUCCCUAAACACCCCAGACUGCCUGCAUCUCAGCCAACACAUAAGGCAGGUGCCUGCUGACACACUGUGUGGACAGGGGGAUGCUGCCCAGCCUGCAAGAAUGUGUCUUGUCCAGGGAACUAUGUACUGCACAGAGAGAUGAGCCUGGGGAUGUGAUCAGGUACUCCUGCCUUUUGGGAGAGGGCUGGUUUGAUUGCUUAUUCUGCUACCUUCUGCUGGCCUGAGUGGCUCUGAAUCCUGGAAGGAUGCUGUCUGUUGGAUUCCCCCUCCCUAUGUGAUGGGAGGUGAAUCUGGGGCUUCAGGGCAAGGCAAGGUCAUCCCACGAUUAAGGUCUUAUGCACUUGAAUGCUACCCUGAUGAACUGGAUUCACUUUUCUCACUUACCUGAAGCCUACUUUUGUGUUUCUGGCCAAGGGUUGGGUUUUGCAGGCACUGAGUAUUUCCAGCUGCAAUAGGUAUUAAUAAAAGAGUGAGUUUUAUAUGUAAAUUAUAAAAGCCUCUGAAAAAAAAACCAAGGUUUCUGGCUGAUUUGGACACCCCAAAAUUAGUGAAAGUGGUAGCUUUUUGCUUUAUUUUAAUCUGAUUAUUUUUCAUUCCUCCCUAUCCUCACAGCAUGUGAUCUAACUGCAGGAAUACUUAUGUUGCUUUUUGGAUGACCUGUUAAUGAGAAGUACAGAAAGCCCAUGAGGCUCCAAACAAUCUUGUCUCGCUGACUGCUGCAUGAGCACAGAAGUAAGGCACAGUGCCAUGCAGUAAACAGCAAGCAGAAAACUGAACAUAAGAUCAUUAAAACACACCAUCCACCCGGUGCAGAUGAGGGGCAGGAAAUUCUGAGGAAAACCUUUGGGAACUUAGCUGCUGUAGCUGAACUCAAGUUAGGGUGAAGAUGGUGUUCAUGUUAGUCCUCGUAUUACUGCGUAGAUGAGGUCCAAGUUCAGCCCCUCGUCUGACACUGGAUCAUAUUUAUUCUGACACUAGGUGUUAUGUUACUUCAGGAAUAAAGCAGUCACUUGCUGACAGAGUGAGCUGUGCUUGCUGUGAUGGAAGGUGACGUUACUGGGCCCUGCAUUAGAGGCUGAAGAUGGCUGAUCAGUUACUGCAUCUCCAGACCCUGCUGGGAACCUGAACUGUUAACCUGAAUGCUCAUUUUUAUGUGUUUUCCACUGAAACUGUUUAAAAGCAUCUCUGUUACUGCGAAUUCCUGCUUAUUUGUCAUAAAGGGGGAAAAACACCAAACAGGAAUUAACAAGAGGAUUUUCUUUGUGACUUCAGUGCCUCAUUAGGAGGUUUAUGAUCAGGCUUUGGGAAAGCUUUCCUUGAAUUAUUUUAAGGUUCUAAUGAUAAAAACCUCAGGGAGGUCAUGCACAUGGGGGAUUUAAUACCCCUUCAGAACCAUCUGGCAUUAGAUUACAUCCAGGGAAAGAAGAAAAUCUGGCAGUAAUAUUCAUCUCCAUUAACCCAGAAUACAGGCUGAUAUGAUUAUAGCAGAGAAAAUGCUCUCACUCUGUCACCAGGAAAAGCUCUUAAUAGACCUGGCCUAAAUUGGUUUAUAAAACUGAAGACUUCUUGAAGCAUGGAUCUGCCCUCUCAUUGAGUGCAUUAGCUUUGGCUUUUAAUAUGUUUUAUAUCUUUUUAACCUUGACAACUAAUAUGUUAGAGUAUAAAGUAUUGCUAGGGUGAAAGACUGUUUGGAGCUCCCAACUUACUCAGUGCACGCAGUGUUAGUAGUGUAAGUAUAGUGCUGGAGCACGGCCCAUUCAUGCAUUGCUUCUAGUUUUGUUUUUUUCAAGAGCAACAAUGAGAUCACGGCCCCAGUGACAUCCUCAGCAAAACUCCCACUGACGUCAGUGGCAAUUAGACAACCUCCCCUCAAACCCUUCCCCUGAGACCCCGAACCAGCAGGGUGCUUAAGCAUGCAUUUGGCCUGGAGCAUGCUGACUGCUGUAGGAUUUACUUACUUUGCUCCAGGAAAGCCUGUAUUUACAUUCUUGGCUAAACCAGGAGUUUAGUGGAAAGUAUAGAAACUAUGAAAGGGGAGAGUGAGAUGGAUCCAUAUGGGGCUGGAAGCCUGCUCUUCUCUGCCCCUCAAGGUGAGGGUGCUUGGUGCAAACCCAGCUGAGAGUGCAGCACCCCAGGGGGAUGGUGACUUUGCAGACAAAUUCACUGCCUUUCACCCUAACUGUUGGGCAGGCUCUCCUCUGCCUCCUGCACCACUCAUUAGUUCUUCCAUCAUUUUUAUCUUGUCAUUCCCUGUUAGCACAAUGACUUCUCCAGUGAUGAUCUCUCUCCCCCUCCGAUUUUCCUGUCCUUUUACCUUCCCUUCCCUCUGCUCCCAGCUCUGUGGCCGGACAGCUCCUUUCCUUCAGGCAGAGUUAUGAUUCACUUGCUGCAUGGAAAGCAAAACCAUAUGGGAGAUGAGAAAAGGCCAUUUAUCUCAAAGUCUAUUAAGAUGUGAACAUCUCGCAUUAAGGCUUCAGCUCAGCCAGGCUUUCUUGCACAUGUUGCUGUCAUCUCUUUCCACCAGAACAGGGAUGGACUCCCUGAGUCAGACAAAGUGAUCCUCUUAGCUUGUCGUGAGGUUUGUUCCUAGCAUGGCUCUGCAUACAAAACAUUUAAAGGGAGGGAGGAAGAGAGAGAGAAAAGCACAGUCAUGUCUUUUCCCUUCUUCUGAGAAGCCACUUGUGCCAGCUUUCCCUUUGGAAACAGCUGCUUGCUGCAGGAAAUUGUUACCAUCCUGAGACAGGGUUGUGAAAGAGAAACCAGAGUGGGCACCAAGCCUAGCAAAGGGAAGUUAGCUCUGUGUUCAUGAGUUAGAUGAAUCUCCUCGGUUGACUGAGGGGGGGAUGAUAUUCCUGAAUCAGUAACUGCUCAAAUCAAAAGGUGGGACCAGAAGGCGAGUUCCCAGGAAUACCAGUUGGGUGGUUGGGCACAGGGCUGUAAGCUCUAUGUAUGGCACAAGACACUACUCUGGGGCCACCACGUACUUUCACAACCAAGGAGGACUUCAAGCAUGGUACCCGGUCCUUAGUGCUGGUAUUGGCCCCUGCUUCCUUCCUUUCUACAGUCACCAUCAAAUAAAUAAAUAAAACGUGCUCUUUUAAUUCAGGGUGAAAGCAUCUUUCACACUUCAAGAAUUAAGAGAGAGGGGGAGACCUCCAAACCGCAGCUCCAGUGGAUGUCCUGCAGUGUCUGCUCUUGUGUUUCUGCUUCCUUCUCUGGGGUUGUAACACAUUUGCUGACGGAUUUAUGCUGCAGUUGGAAACCAGAACCCAGGACAGCCUGUUCUCCUGCUUCGUGCUAUAAACAUAAAUACGCUCGCGUAGCCGUUUGUAUCUGGUUCUUUCUAUCUGCAGAAGGAUUUUAUUAGCUUUCUCUAAAGCGGUCCUGAAGGGGAGCAAGAGACCGGCAACAAAAGGAAGUGCUUGAACAGGAACAAGAAUAAAAAGGAGCAAAGGGCAGGAAGUUGCUAAGAGACCACGCAAGCGAGAGCAGGGAAUUAAUGGCAGAUAUCAAAGCGGCUAUUGGAAACCGCAUGUUUUCCUACAAGGGCUCAUUUAUUGAGUAGGAGCUGCAAUCGGAAGGCAGCAGAGUCGCCCUGGUCUGAAGCGCAUUUGUAGCAUGGAAAAAACUUUUUCCCAUCUCCAGCUUUGUGCUGUGCUGGGUGCAUUGCUCGGUUAGUGACAGGCCUUUAAAUUAACCCGCGUUGUGGAGCAGCAGAGCGAGUAAUGUGGAAAAAAACGCAGCCUCUGUGGUUUAAGUAAACCUCACCCAGCGCAUUGUUAGACACUACCUGAGAUGAGAUUUCACCAGAUUUGGGUUCUGAAUGAGUUAUCCCAGCUCUCCCACAUGGGAAGCUGGUGCCUAGAGAGUCUGCACAGUGUGGGAACCGCUGAGUAACUCCAGGCAGGCCGCACAGAGCUCUCAGCUGCUUUCUCAAAAGUUUUUCUGGAAAAAGCCCGUGCUGACCCCCUUAGUACCUACAGACCCUAGACCCAGCUGAAACCAGCUCUGUCACAGCCCAGCAGCCACCCUGAGCAAGCCAGAGUGUGUUGCUGGCUGUGCUCGCAUAGGCAAAACUCCUGCGGUCUUGCUGCCGCUGCUUGGGGAGAAGCGCUCCAGCGAUGCUAUUUCAAACGAUUCCAGCUGCUCUCCACUCCCUCGGAGAUAUCAUCAGAGGGUAGUCGCUUACACUGAGAUUACUUUAAUGAUAUCAAGGGGUGUGGAAGAAGGCUGCUAAUUAGUAAACCCUCGAGGUACAAAGAUAUAAAUAGCCCCGGAGCAGCGAGAGCAGAUCCAAAUCUGCAGCCUAACAUUAUCUUGGGCUGAAAGCAUUACGUGUCGACGGAUUCCACCGGAGGAGAGUGAUUGAACUUUCCUGUUAGGCUGAACAGCGGGGCUUGUUUUGAUUGAUAAAGCUCCUUGUCAGAGUUUGCAGUGUAUUAUCAAUGUAUUGAGACACCUGCCACGCCUGAGACAGGAGCAGCAGUAGCAGGAACUUAGUCUGGGAUGAGCAAUCAUUUUGCAGAGAAAUCACUGGCUUGUACUUUUACUUACUAAAAUAAAUAAAUAACAUAGUACCUAUCUCAAUUCCCAUUGCCAACUGCUUGAAUGAUUUUGGGGUCCAGCCAAAAGGCAAAGAUUGUGAUAAGCAGCUGAAAUUCAUCAACUGAGAAUUUGCUAGAAAAAUAAGCCCAUGCUACCCAGUACAGUCAUGGCAGAGAGGAAACGUCUGUGCUGGGAGAGGUGGAAAUUGCAGCAUGGCCCAUUCUCAGCCUCUUUGCAGACUCAGUAGCCACAUCCCUCAUCCUAGUCUGGUGCCAGUUCAUUCUCCCUCUUUCUGAGUGACUGCAAAUAGCAAACGAGUCAGCUCCUCCUAAAUCGCCAGCAUGUAUUUUAAUGCAACCUGCUGUACUCCUUACGCUUUCCGUAAGGCUUUCUUAAGGUUUGGUGUUGUGAUUUAUUUAUUUAUUUAUUUAUUUUUGGUUGGUUGGUUGUGUUUUUUUUGUUUUGUUUUGUGCUUCUUUUUUCAGUCCUAAUGCUGUGUUUCUUGAACCCAACACAAACCAGCCGCUUGCAGCGGAUUGACAGCACUAUCACCCUGUGAUAAACUCAGGGAAUUUGGUUUUAAAGUGGAGGCUGUCUUAAGGGAAGGCGCAGGGGGAGCACAAAAACUAGAACAAACUUCCCUUCAAAAUACCAGCCCAGCCAUGAGCGGGGACUUGCAGAACUGUUCCCGAGCGCGGUGUCGGAGCAGUGCACGUGAGGAGUGCUCUGCAGGACCACACAAGUUCGCUGCUAUUCCUAAAUCCUCGCCUUGCAACCGGGAAACUCCUGCCAAGUCGUUUGAGACAGUGGCACCUGGGAAGUAUUAUGUGAGUCUGUAUUGCAUCAUGAGAACCCUAUUUGCACUUAAUUACAUAUCUCCCUCCCUCCCUCCCCCCAGUAGAACAAGCGGGACAGAUGCUGCAUCUACAAAGUGAGAAUGAAACACAGUUUUUAAGUGGAAUCUGACAGCCAGAAGUGUAAGAGCAGACUUCAGACAAGAUCCCAGCAAUGAAGAUCCUUUCAGUAUUGAGCAGCUCAGACUGGUCACUUUUGGUGCCAUCUACAGCAGUGACCCCAUGUAUCCUAACGCAGGUCUGUCUUGUGCUCCUGACUCUUUGUGCCAAAUAGUGCAGAAAUGUCAGCGGAGAGGUCUUGACCACCCUCUUCUCCCUUGGUUCCUCUCUGUGAGCCCACGUGAUCCCACCCAAAAGCCCAGACAUUAUUUUCACAAACCUCCUGCCAGCUGUUUUGUGCACUGCUGGUUAUAAUUACUGUAAAAUUACUGUAAGCGCGUUAAGAUGCCUUGCAAGGAUUAACCUGCAGAAUGCACGGGUGCCUCUGCAUUUGGGGCAGCAGGUUAAUAGGUAUCAGUUGGGCUAACAGAUGCAGGCUGCUCUGGCAGGGCUGAGCAAUGGAGAGGCAGGAAAGGCUCAUGCCAGCUUUGCUGACCCAUGGUGUGUAACAGCAGCAUCACGGCGUUGUGUUUAGCAGGAGCAGAUCCCCCAUAAACAGAUGCAGCUGGUAGGUGGGCGCAGAUCCAUCGCCAGCUAACACCCACCUGAGGCCUGGUGUUUAUUCCCUGGAAAGGCUGGAAGGCAAGAUAUUGCUGUUCUGUAGGGCACCUGGGCUGUAUUGAUGACAAAUGUGCAAAGUGCUCUUUUUAAAGCAGCCUGUUGGAAGUGUGUCUCCGCAAGGAUUUCUACCGUGGGCUCAUUACUCAAGCCCUUGCAGUUGUGUGGAUUUGGAGGCUUUAGCCUUCUACUUUCCCCUCAUUUAAAAGUCAAAUCUCCCAUUCCCUGCCAUAUAAUCCAGGAGAAGAAAUACAUUUCCUAUUUACAGAAGGCCAUGGUAAUGCAGUCACUGAUCUGGCACAAGCAUGGGCUGCUGGAAAGCAGGAAUCCUCUUCGCGCUGCUCUUGCCCCACCAGCUCCCGUGCAAUGGCUCUGUAAUUCAUGGGGCUGGGCUUUGAUUCAGUAGUUUCUUUAAGGAGGGCCUCAAA